rnacentral:lncRNA from 1 species
UACCAACAUGAGGAGGCCAAGAAUCUUGGGAUGUGUUUGGUUUGGGGGCGAUGUGGGAUGGUUCCGUCCCUAUUUUUUUGUGAUGGGAUCGUCCCAUUCGGUGUUUGGUUGAGAAUGAUAGAUUCAUUCCAGCUCUUUGUUUGGUAGGAGGGAUGCGAGUAAAUGGUAUGCAUACUUUUUUUUCUAAGCCGUUAGCCACCGUCAGCGGAGCCCACAUGUCAGGCUCACGUACCCAUCUUCUCCC